CGCAGCGCCCCCACUGUCCCCGCCGCACCCCCAUCUCUUCCGCCUCCCGAUCUCAACCAUUCCACCUCCCCACCACCGGGAUCCAGCCAACGGCGAGUCAGCGACCGCCAUCAACCCACCUCCCCGCCGCCGGGAUCCAGCCACCCAGCGCGCCGGCGCCGCCUUGAACCCCACAGGCACCUCAUGUGCCGCCGUCACGUCUCCUUCACCGUCGCUAGCGAGCGCACCGCCGCCACAACCACCGCCUCUCGAGAGCGCCGGCGCGCACGGAUCCGGCAGGAUCCCGACCGAAGCGGGCCACCCCUGCACCCCCCGGUGACGCCCACCCCCCUGCGCACCGCCUCCUGGACCUCCCGGCGUCGCUCAACCCUCUCCAUCUCCCAUUGAUGUGCCGCCACCUCCACCUCCCACCGGCGCGCUGCCCCUCCCCAUAAGCGCCACCACUUCACGCCCCCACACCGCUGCCCCUGCUUCAGCUCCACCCGUCGCCGCAGUCCAACAUCUCCAACUUGAGCCGUUCGCCGCUGCUGCUUGAUGUGAUGCAUUGCUUUCCAACAGACAUCGACCCAAUGACCCGAGUCAAGGUCCAGCUUGCCAACUCCAGCAUCCUCUCUGCACUGUGGAACAUGAAACUCUUUGGAAGCUGUCGGUUGUCACUGAAAGCACAGGCUUAAAUCAUGUAUGCUGUACACAGGAGUGAAGUUCAGUUUGCCGGAGAAAGAGGCGUUGCCACGACCGAUGCUGGCUGUUCGUGCAUGGAAGUCCGUGUAUUCUGUUUGAAAACCUGGGAGCAUGCCCAAAACGUUCAGAAAUAUCAAUGACAGAAGUUCGAAUAUAGGGAGGUUGAUGCUUUGUGUGUGUGUAUACAUUUUUAGGGGAUCCUGUGUUUGUAUACAUGGCAGCACAAUUGUUUGUGCAUGAUAUGUAGUUCUACAAUAGCAGUUGAAUAAGGAAACAAUUUCUUUUGGCAUUUUCUUCA